AAUAGAUACCCGGGUAGUCCACGCCCUAAACGAUGUCUACUAGUUGUCGGGUCUUAAUUGACUUGGUAACGCAGCUAACGCGUGAAGUAGACCGCCUGGGGAGUACGGUCGCAAGAUUAAAACUCAAAGGAAUUGACGGGGACCCGCACAAGCGGUGGAUGAUGUGGAUUAAUUCGAUGCAACGCGAAAAACCUUACCUACCCUUGACAUGGUCGGAAUCCCUGAGAGAUUGGGGAGUGCUCGAAAGAGAACCGAUACACAGGUGCUGCAUGGCUGUCGUCAGCUCGUGUCGUGAGAUGUUGGGUUAAGUCCCGCAACGAGCGCAACCCUUGUCAUUAGUUGCUACGAAAGGGCACUCUAAUGAGACUGCCGGUGACAAACCGGAGGAAGGUGGGGAUGACGUCAAGUCCUCAUGGCCCUUAUGGGUAGGGCUUCACACGUCAUACAAUGGUGCAUACAGAGGGCUGCCAACCCGCGAGGGGAGCUAAUCCCAGAAAGUGCAUCGUAGUCCGGAUUGUAGUCUGCAACUCGA
rnacentral:rRNA from 1 species